ACCUGGCUGACUCAGUCAGUCAGUAGAGCAUGAGACUUGUGAUCUUAGAGUUGUGAGUUCAAGUCCCACAUUGGGUG
rnacentral:tRNA from 1 species